UUGCUAGAAAGCUCGACUUACCCACCAAGAAGGGACAGCAUGAGCAGUACAAACUUCCCCACUGCUUCCUAGUCCAUGUGCCUCAGCCCUGACCCGGAGGAACCACUCCUGGAGGUGAGAGAAUCGUUCAUUUUCAAGGCUGUU
rnacentral:sRNA from 1 species